UCGCUCCUUUGAGUGCCUGCCCCGCGGCUGACAGUUCGGGGAGUCCGCUGCUUCCUCGGGCCCCAUGUCAGCCGGGGAGCGCCUAGCCACUGGAGUCUGACCUGGGCGGCCCCCUCCAAGAGUCUCAAAAAGGAAGACGCUGCUGCUCUCCAGAGUGGGACAGGGAUGCUGGGGAAUAAACACAGAGCAGCCCAGAAGUCACCCAGCUGCUGUGCGUGCGUGCGUUCCCGUGGGUGACGGUGGGGGAAUGGCUGACAGUGGCAGUAAGAGGUUAACGAAGGGGCCUACACAAGGAGGUCUCCCCUCAAGACCACGCGGCACUCUGGAAGGACUGCUAGGAGAAAAAUGGCUUCCCAGUGACUGGGAAGAGACGCAAUCUGAUCUCAGGGUGGAAGUGACAACCAGACCCAGCAAGUGAUGGCUGCAGCAAGGAGUCCCUGGGCUCCCCCAUCCUCAAAAAAAAAAGGAACCACAGAGGGACAGAGAGCAGCCAGCGAGGCCUCCCAGCAGCAUUCCAGGCACUUCUGCUACAAGUUGGUUGCUGGUCUCACAGAAGCUUUUUAGGGAACUCUUUUGUCAGUGGCUGAAACGUCUUUCGAAAGAACCAACCCUGGAGCUCCUGGUUUUGGAGUAGUUUCUGACCAUCUUGCCCAGAGGAGAUCCAGAACUGGGUGAGGACCAGCAUCCAGAAAAUGCUGAGGAAGCUAUGGCUCUGAGGAGCACAGAGAUCCCAGGACAACAGUCUUAAUAGGCAGGAAUUUGUGUGGACAGACACUGGGGUCUGUUCCCAGGCCCCAGGUUCUGGGAAGGACUGGAAAGUGCUCAUGAAGACAGCCCCGUUGGGAGCAGCCAGAGGAGCACUGUGAUCCCGGUGGAAGGAGGUGGUCCAGACAGAGGAACAGACUUUGUGCGGGGCUCAGAACUCACACCAGAUACCAUUGGAGCAGCUGGAGGGGCAGCGGAAGCCACAGCCCUCACCUGAGGCAGCAGGUGUGCGCUGGGGCUAUGGAGAGACCAAGACACUCCUGGCCAUUCUCAGUAGUUCUCCACUGUGAAAACCCUCAGGCCCACGAGAACAGUCAGACACAAACGGCUGUGGCAGAAUGACUCUGGGAGUAGGGCGUUCCGUCACACCAAGUUACAGAGCCUACAGUCAAGGUACUGUGAAGCCAAGAAGGCAUGUGUCUGAACCUUGUGUAAGUGGAAGCUCUUUUUUCAAACAUUAUUUGUUUAUGUGAAAGGCAGAGUUACAGAGAGGUAGAGGCAGAAGCAGAGAGAGAGAUAUUCCAUCCUCUCGUUCACAUCCCAAAUGGCUACAAGGGGCAGAGGGGGGGCCAAUCUGAAGCCAGGAGCCAUGAGUUUCUUCCAGGUCUCCCACGUGGGUACAGGGGUCCAAGGACUUGGGCCAUCUUCUACUGCUUUCCCAGGCCAUAGCAGAGAGCGGGAUCGGAAGUGGAGCAGCUGGUCUCGAACCAGCGCCCAUAUGGGAAGCCGGCACUGCAGGCGGUGGCUUUACUUGUCACACCACAGCACCAACCCCCAUGGAUGCUCUUUCCAGUGCCCGGUCUCUGCACCUCCUCCGCAAGCAGAGAGAGAAAGGAUAUUGAGGGGUAGGGCUGACUCAGAAGAAUGCAGAUCCCACAAGUUGUAGAAGACGGCACCAUGGGUGGCAGCCAGGGAUGAAAAGUACUUCUGGAACCCAGCCAGGAAGACUGCGACUCAACUGAACUCCCUGUGUGCGCAGGCUGCUUCCACCCUCCCCCCUGCCUGAUCCUCUAGUGGGCUGGGCAGAAAGGGAGCGCCAGCUCCCAGAGUCCCCAACCCUUGCUGUCAAGCGACUCCAGAUGGUCUGGAAUAGACAGUGUCUAGAACGAGGCACAGUACGGUGGCACAGUAGGCUAAGCCUCCUCCUGCAGUGCCAGCAUCCCGUAUGUGUGCUGGUUCAAGUCCCUGCUGCUCCUCUUGCGAUCCAGCUCUCUGCUAUGGCCUGGGAAAGCAGUGGAAGAUGGCCCAAAUGCUUGGGCCCCUGAACCAGCAUGGGAGACCCAGAAGUUCCUGGCUUUAGAUUGGCUCAGCUCUGGCCGUUGCAGCCAUCUGGGAGUGAGCCAGUGGAUGGAAGACCUUUCCCUCUGUCUCUGCCUGUCUAUAACCUUUACCUCUCAAAUAAAUAAAAUCUUAAAAAAAAAAAAAAAAGAAUGGUUUCUCUUUUCCUGACUGGACUUUAUUAUUAUACGCUAAGAAAGUUGAUUUUAUUCUAAGUGUAGUAGGAAGCACCUGGAUAUGUAGGCAGGGAAUGACAGAAUUCUCUUCUUCUGGCAGUGGAGGAAGAUGAGAGCAGACAGAAAAAGCAGCAAGGGGACCAGAUGAGACUCUUGGUUCUGAUGUCCAGAGACAGUUGUCUAGUCAAAUGAUGGCACAGGUUAUGGAUAAAAGUGGAUGAGAUUUGUAUAUUUCAGAAGUAAAAUGAACAUGAUAUUGGGGGCCGGCGCUGGGGUGCAACAGGUUAAUGCCCAGCCUGAAGUGCAGGCAUCCCAUAUGAGCGCCGGUUUGAGGCCCGGCUGCUCCACUUACGAUCCUGGCCUGGGAAAGCAGUAGAAGAUGGCUCAAGUCCUUGGGCCCUUGUACCUGCCUGGGAGACCCAGAGGAAGCUCCUGGCUUCAGAUCGGUUCAGCUCUGGCCGUUGUCA